rnacentral:rRNA from 1 species
GGGUUGUGAGGUUAAGCGACUAAGCGUACACGGUGGAUGCCCUGGCAGUCAGAGGCGAUGAAGGACGUGCUAAUCUGCGAUAAGCGCCGGUAAGGUGAUAUGAACCGUUAUAACCGGCGAUUUCCGAAUGGGGAAACCCAGUGUGACUCGUCACACUAUCAUUAACUGAAUCCAUAGGUUAAUGAGGCGAACCGGGGGAACUGAAACAUCUAAGUACCCCGAGGAAAAGAAAUCAACCGAGAUUCCCCCAGUAGCGGCGAGCGAACGGGGAGGAGCCCAGAGCCUGAAUCAGCAUGUGUGUUAGUGGAAGCGUCUGGAAAGGCGCGCG